ACUAAACAACUAGCUUAUUCAAUAAAAUAACUAAACAAUAUAAAUAUUACAAAAUCAACCCAACAGAAAAAACUAAACCAUUCUUUUACUUAAGUAUGAGAGACAGAAAAAUUUAUUUAAAGCAAUAGAAAACAGUACCGCGAGGGAAAGUUGAAAAAGAAAUGAAAUAACUCCUAUAAGUACCAAAAAGCAAAGACUAAACCUUGUACCUUUUGCAUCAUGAUUUAACCAGUAAAUACAAGCAAAAAGACUUUUAGUUUUAAACCCCGAAACCAGGUGAGCUACCCCGAGACAACCUAUGUAGGGCCAACCCGUCUCUGUGGCAAAAGAGUGGGAAGAGCUCCGGGUAGAAGUGACAAACCUAUCGAACCUGGUGAUAGCUGGUCACCUAAGAAAUGAAUAAAAGUUCAGCCUCGCACACCUCAAAUCAACAACCCAAAUAUACACCCAAAGAUAAAAGAGAAAAUACACGAGAGUUAAUUAAAGGGGGUACAGCCCCUUUAAUAAAGGACACAACCUUACAUAGGAGAAUAAAGAUCACAAUAUAAAAAAUAUACUAUCCCAGUGGGCCUAAAAGCAGCCACCUAAAAAGAAAGCGUUAAAGCUCAGACAGAAAUAAAUUUAUUAUUCAGAUAAAAAAUCUUACUUCCCUAAAUACUAUUAGGAUAAUCCAUGCACACAUGGAAGAAACUAUGCUAAAAUUAGUAACAAGAAGGCCCACCCUUCUCCCAACACAAGUGUAAACCAGAUUGGACCAACCACUGGUAACUAACGAACCCAACCCAAGAGAGCAAUGUGGACUACAAAAACCACCAAGAAAAACCCACAACCUAAUACUCAAUCGUUAACCCCACACUGGAGUGUAAUUUUAUAGGAAAGACUAAAAGAAAAGAAAGGAACUCGGCAAACACAAGCCCCGCCUGUUUACCAAAAACAUCGCCUCCUGCAACAAACCACACAUAGGAGGUCAAACCUGCCCAGUGAUUAUAGAUUCAACGGCCGCGGUAUUCUGACCGUGCAAAGGUAGCGUAAUCAUUAGUCUUUUAAUUAAAGACCUGUAUGAAUGGCCAAACGAAGGCUUAACUGUCUCUCUUUUCAAGUCAGUGAAAUUGAUCUACCCGUGCAGAAGCGGGUAUUAUUAUACAAGACGAGAAGACCCUGUAGAGCUUAAAGUACAAGACUCAACUACGUUAAAUAACUCAAUAAAAAAUAAAAACCCCAUAGAGUGAGACUCUACUUUCGGUUGGGGCAACCACGGAGAAAAAUAAAUCCUCCACAGUGGACUGGGACAAUUGUCCUAAAACUAAGAGAGACAUCUCUAAGCCACAGAAUAUCUGACCAAACAUGACCCGGCUACAAAGCCGAAUAACGAACCAAGUUACCCCAGGGAUAACAGCGCAAUCCUCUCCCAGAGUUCAUAUCGACGAGGGGGUUUACGACCUCGAUGUUGGAUCAGGACAUCCUAAUGGUGCAGCCGCUAUUAAGGGUUCGUUUGUUCAACGAUUAAUAGUCCUACGUGAUCUGAGUUCAGACCGGAGCAAUCCAGGUCAGUUUCUAUCUGUAACGCCACUUUUCUCAGUACGAAAGGACAGGAAAAGAGGGGUCCAUGCCUAAGGCACACCCCACCCCUAACUUAUGAAAACAAAUUAAUAAAGAAAGGGAGGCCAAGCCAAAUUGGCCUAAAUAAGGAUAU
rnacentral:rRNA from 1 species